rnacentral:lncRNA from 1 species
UUAAUUAAUUAAUGUUUGGUCCUACUAUCUAAAGAUUUUGUUGAAAAAAGUUCUCUCUUUUUAGGCCACAUUUUUCUUUAUCUAGCAAGGACACAUGAAAUGGCCCCAUUAAACAUAGAAGCAAAUAUAUUUCAAUUUAUAAAAUAUACUUAUAACAUUUAUUAAAAUGGCUUGUAAAAUAUAAAAUUAGUCUUUAAAAAUUGAUGGAAAAAUUGAGCCUCAUUCAAGUCUAUUUUAAUUAAAUAGAUGGUACAUACUUGAGUGAAAAAAAAUAUUUAACUUGUUCUUAAGAGUCUAUUUAAGAAGGAUUUUUAUACCAACUUGGAAAGGUUGACAAACCAAAAUGAUAACUGUUAAUUGAUUGCAGGGGUUUAGGCUGUGUUUUAUUCAUCAUUUAAUCUGGUGCCCUUUGCCUCUUCCUCACUGUUGUUCCUUGUAUGAUAUUUAUCUUAAAAUAUUGAAUCAGUAAGAGAAGUGUCAGAAGAUUACAGCUCAGUUCAUCUCAAACCACUGUGUAUCUCUACACGGACCUGCAAAACAGUCUUAAGUGAUGCCAUUAUAAAAAGGCCAGAGAGGAAAAGAAUUUAAGAAAGAAAAAAAAAAAAAUGCCCCUGGAUCCCUGGGUCCAGUCCUGCAGAAUUAAGUCCCAGAGGGUUCAAGCCUUUUGCAGCCCUGUCCAGUUUGUUUGAGAUAUUGAUCUGUGAAAUAUCCCAAUGCUAUCAGCAGCUUAUGGGGCCCAAAGUAUAAUAAUAGGGUAAAUUAUGUUUUCUUUUCCACAUCUGCACUCUGAGAUUGUUUUGGAGAUCUUUCAACUUUACUCAUUAUAAUCAAGUUGUACCAGCCUUUGUUUUAAUAAGAUUCUAAUCUCGAGGUCUAUCCUUCGCAUCAAUGACUUUACACUGUUAAUUGCUUUCUUGUCCUCCAUUAAAUUGCGGUUGCAAUUGCUUCAUCUUAACAGGCGAUUUGUGCUUUGUAUUCUGCCCCAUGCUCUGCAGACACACUUAGCAACAUCAUCUCCCUAAAGAACGAAAUUACCUAUUAUCCUUUUAAUUUUGAUGUACUUUUUUAUGUAUUUGGUUUCCAGCUAGUGUCCAACCAGGAAGCUACAUGUUAUCUUCUUUUAAAAAAAUGUUUUUUUUAAAAGCAGCAGAGUAUAGAUGGCCAGAAUUUAUUUCUAGAUAGAACUCACAUAGUACAUUCGUUUAUUGUUUUAUAGGACCAAUUAAAAAGACAAAGGGGUCUAUUCUCCCCUUGAUACACAAGAGUGACUUCCAUUAACAUUAAUGGAAGGGAAAUACUUGCAUGGAAAUGAGCACAGCCUUCGGAUUAGAAAGUGGGGGGAAAAAAAAAAGCAGAAUCUGGACUGAAUGGCUCCAUGUUUUUCUCUAGAGAAGCUACACAAAAAGCAAACAGCUCAAUUCGCAAAUGUGUUUUCCCCCUACGCUUUUGACUUGUUUGUAUAGUAAAGAAAAUCAGUGAAUAAUUUUGAGGCAGUUCCUUCCUCCACAGAUCAAUCGGAUGCGAAUUUGUUAUUCUAACACCAAUGACACAACUUAGAGAAGGAAUUCAGUAAUGAAAAGCAGCUGGAGGGUUUGACAGGUUUUUGCUGAAGCAGAGUCCUGUGAGACCUGCUUUUGGAGGCAGAGGUGAAAAGUAGGAAUUGGUUACCUGAAGAACUCUGUACACAGAAGCUUAAUUUCCAAGGGAGACGAGCUGUCCAUGUCAAGCUUAUCUUUUGACACGUCUUGCCUGAAAUCCAUCAAAAUCGGGAAACUGCUUCUGACUUCUCAGCGUAGCCUCUGAAUCCUGCGAUCCUCUUGGCUCUCUUGUACCUUAGGAAAGUUUUACACUGUCAGCCAAUAUAAUCUGACACCAGUUGAAGAAGUGUCUCUUUCAGCACGUCAUGUUUUGGUUAAUGGCCUAGGAGUUCAAUUAUUUAAAGUGUGACUAGGUCCCCGUGCCGUCAUCUCUUCUUAAAAAAUAUUGACACAUUCAUUUGCCAUCUGGGGAAUGUUGAGUUCAAAUUAGAUUUUAACCUUUGAAAACGUCGACUUAAAGAAUUCACAACCUGAAAGACCCGAAAGUUGAGAGUUAAGUUUUAUUUGGGGCAAAAUUAGGACUUAAGCCUGGAAGACAGCAUCUCAGGUAGCCCUGAGAAACCACUCCGAGGCGGGGAGGGAGGAGCUAGGAUAUAUAGGAGUUUUUGGAACCGAGGCCAGGGAGCCGCCACAAAAGAGGCCUGGGCUCUUUCAAAUCAUUCCUUUGAUAUGCACCUCUGCUAUCAGGGCCAGUAUCCUGUAGAACUCACCAGCUGUUACCCUUGGAGGUGACUGCAUUCACAGAUUAUCCUUAACUACCGCCUUGGGGCUGAAAUACCACCUAAGGAGGAAAAAGGGGAAUAUCAGGAUAUGAUAAAGGGGAGGGGAAGGUGCAUGCAGCCACACAUGCAUUUUACAAAAGUUUGCUGCUGAUCUCCUGAAGGUUAGUUGCUACCAGUUAGAAGGGGCAGACAUCACCACAAAGGAUUUUAGCGUUUUUCUAGAUAUGAGGAGAUGCAAGAAUUGGGCACAUAAAAUCUUCCCCUAAAAAUAUCUGACUAUCUGAAGACCUGUUCUUCCAGUUUUCCCAGCGCAGAGAGCGCCUCCCUCCUGCUGAUCACCCUGAGCUCCACUCAAGGGGGUGCUGCUAGUUGGCAGCUACGGUGGCUCAUGAUUUAAUCCAUGUAGAGGCUGAAGGCAAGGGCCAAACUUCAGUUCACAACACAUGCUUCAGAGAUAGAAGAAGCACUCUUCAGAAGAACAGCCCUCUCCUUGGUAUCUUUCAGUCUGUCCUCCACCUCCUUAGCCUGGACUUUGAUUUCCUAGAAAAACCAGGCUCACUAGCAUCAUUUUCUGCCUCGAGUCUCUCUCUUCCCAUGACGGUUGAGCCCUAUCUCUGGAAUGUUGCUACUAUUCGUACUGACCUGGAAGAGGCUUCUGAGAAGUUCCUAUUUUAAUUGUUUCCUUUCUUAGCUGUGACAAAUUCCCUGCUUCAGAGCAUUACCUGUAACUUUCUUGGGAGCCAAAUUUGUGCAGCCAGAGUUCCUUUUUUAGCUUAAAAUGUGACUGUAGCCCUGUCCUCUGUUUGUCACCUUUAAUACCCUCUCUUUUGUCUUGGCAUCCCUAAAGACAAAAGAGAGGGUCUGCUCUGGUCAGAAUUCCCUAAAGAAUCAUCUUUAUUUAUUGUUUUCUCACCAAACCCCACCUUUUCCCAUACUUGGUAUUGUGGAGUGGUUUGAGCAAUGUAUCCAAUGAAAACUGGUGUUGGGGCAAGUGGGGAUGACAAUGAGGAGGGUACCACAGCAUUUUAUUUUAACAUUAGUGUUUCUAAAAUGCUUUUGUUUCCCCUAACCUACUCCAGUGUGCUAGUUCAGAUCCCCUGAGGAGCCAGCACCAAGAUGAGAUUAGAUGUACAAGUGUUUUACUGGGGGAAAUGCUUGUGAAGGAUGCAGGGAGGAAGCAUGAGUGGGGAAAGAGAGCCUCAGACCUGGAUUACAUCUGACACCUGUGAGAGGGGUGCAGAAGGAAGAACGACUGGGUAGGCAUGAUGGGAUUCUAGGAAAGCUUUCCCCAGGCCAAUGGGAAAGUCCUGAAGAGGUCUCUUAUCGGGCAGGAAGCAGGCUGCCCUAGGACCCCCACCAAGCUCAGCACUGGCUGGGAGCAACCUGGCAGAAGCCUGGCAUCUGUGAACAUGGCGCUGGACCCAAGGGGUGGCCAUUGGGGCUGUCACACAACUGUGUAGGAGAUCUGACCAUCACCUUUCUGGGCCACCACACGCAGCUAUGUGUUCUCCCACUAGCAGUGAACGUGGUUGUUGCCCUUAGGGUAAGGUAUCAGCAAACUAUGAGAGCAGUCUGUCCCAUCUGGCCAGUCUCCCAGUACCAACUGCUGCUCCUUCGGGAAUCGUCAUGGAAUCACUGAGGGCCAUGGUAGAUGUUUCCUCCCCGAAAGCUUGGAAAUUGAUGAAAACCGUAUAUCAAUUAAAUAGCUGCAGGGCAAUGCUAUCGCCAAGACUGAAAAUCCAUUUCCUGUUCCUCAUUCCAAAUUAUGUAUAGCCUUGUUUCUAACAAAGCACGUGACAGGUUGUGGAGAUCAAACACCAUUAAGACACUUUAAUAACAGACUGCCAACGGAAAGGUGCCCUCAGUUGGACUAUAAACCCACUCAUGUUUUCAAACUCCUGGAAAGAAAUUUAAGUCCAAAUAUUUAUACUUUACAAAUUGAAACGCAAAGAAAA